ACGGGUGUGGUGUAAUGGUAGCACAGAAGACUUUGACUCUUCCGGUAUAGAUUCGAGUUCUAUCGCCCGUG
rnacentral:tRNA from 1 species